rnacentral:rRNA from 1 species
GAUGAACGCUGGCGGCGUGCCUAAUACAUGCAAGUCGAGCGAACAGACGAGGUGCUUUCGCCUCUGACGUUAUCGGCGGACGGGAGAUUAACACGGGGAUAACCUACCUAUAAGACUGGGAUGAUUUCGGGAAACCGUAUCUAAUGCCGGAUGAUAUAUUGAACUUCAUUGGUCAAUAGUUAAAGUCGGUUGUUCGGUCAGUUAUAGAUGGACCAGCGCCGCAUUAGCUAGUGGGUAAGGUAACGGCUUACCAAGGCUACGAUGCGUAGCCGACCUGAGAGGGUGAUCGGCCACCCUGGAACUGAGACACGGUCCAGACUCCUACGGGAGGCAGCAGUAGGGAAUCUUCCGCAAUGGGCGAAAGCCUGACGGAGCAACGCCGCGUGAGUGAUGAAGGUCUUCUGAUCGUAAAGCUAUGUUAUUAGGGAAGAACAAAUGUGUAAGUAACUAUGCACGUCUUGACGGUACCUAAUCAGAAAGCCCCGGCUAACUCCGUG